rfam:Oryza sativa Japonica Group DNA, chromosome 7, cultivar: Nipponbare, complete sequence.
AAAAAACUCAAUUUUAGGUUUCCGUGUCCAACAAUUGACCGUUCGUCUUAUGUGAAAUUUUUUUAUGAUUAGUAUUUUUAUUAUUGUUAGAUGAUAAAACAUGAACAAUACUUUAUGCAUGAGUUAUCUUUUUAAUUUUUUUCAUAUUUUUUUCAAAUAAGACGGACGGUAGACACGGAAACCCAGGAAUUGAGUUUUU